rnacentral:lncRNA from 1 species
CAAAAAUAUAAGUCCUUUAAAUCGGAGUAGAGCUGAAUAAAAGGUAGGAAAUAUUUUUCAUGAAUGCUUUGAUGAACUCUGAUUCUUUGUAGCCUCAUCACAUGUUUUCAAUGAGAAAAGCAGGGUGAUUUCAAGCUCCAAAUCCAGCUUGGCUGUGAAUUGAAGCAAACAAGUGUUGUAUGCUUCUUUCCAAAAGAGGGAAGGGAAAAAAUCUUGGUAUAACCUUCCUGUGAAAUAAAUCCAACACUGAUGUUUAUUCUGUGUUUUUUGUGCUCGUAGCUCACAAAACCCUUUCAGAGAAGAAGACCUUGCCUUCCCUGCACCAGGGGCUUGGAAAUGGGAGACUGUAACAUUUCAUUCAUCUUAAAAAAUGCUUGCCCUCGCUGCCUGGAGUACCAUCCCAUCCGCCUCUGCCUUUCAACUGUAAAUGCAUUGCAUGAGCUGUCUUCGUUUGGAGGUCCUUCUGCCUGAUUGCGUCCUAGCUCAUCUUUGAUGUGAAUUUUGUCCUUUCUGUGUCACUGAAAUUUCUUCUAUACUUGGUUUCUUAUGUUAUUAUUAUUUUUUUUUCUUCUACCUCUCCCUUUGUUUUUUUGACUUCUUUCCUGAAGGAUGGAAGGAUGUCACCUUCCUUUGCUGGAAUACCAGGGGGCUUCAGAGGUCUCUUUCUUUUCUUUUUUUUUUUUUUAAAGUUUUCCAUAGUAACUUCAUAGGUAGCCAGCUGCCAAACUUGAGGUUGAUUAAGAAAUGAAGGGAUGAAGGGGGGAACUGAGGGUUUCACAAGGCAAGGCUAGUGAGUAUGAAUGGGACAUAGUCGUAUUGCAAGGAGGACAUAAGUGCAGGGAUAUGGGCUGUUGGUCUGGAAUGGAGUAGUGAGAAAAGGAGAUGGGGAUGUUGGGCGAGGAGAAGCUAUCAGGAGGAUGCUGUACUGAGUAGCCAAAGGAUGAACCUGGACUGUUGUGGAGGGCUUAGAACUAUGUUGGGAGGCAGGUGGGAGAUACAUGACCUGAGCUGCUGAGAAUGAGG